rnacentral:sRNA from 1 species
GGUCGUAUCGGUCGAUUGGGAAACUCAUCAAUUAAUAACAAAUUCCGAGACAAGCUCACCGUUUCUAAUGGCGGGUCACACCCUUCGGGGUUGCUUUAUGCGCAGUGAAUUACAAAGGGGGCGGGGCACUCAAAUCCUGUUUUACGGAGUUUCGUCAUAUUCCAUCGGUACGGCUCUUCUU